UUUUAGGAAAAACUUGAUGUAAUUAAAGGGCUUGGGGAAGAAGUAGAGACAAAGUUAUCACAAAGACCACAAUUGGCAGAGUUAACUGCAUACAGUCACUCAUUGAUAGAAGGAUUACAAGCAAGAGUAGCUAAUCUCAAGCUUUCUAGGAAAAUGGCUAAAAUGGGUUCAAUGAAACAACAGACAGAAACAAUGGGAGAGAAGUGGACAAAUUUGGCUCGUCAGCU